UACGUAGGGUGCAAGCGUUAAUCGGAAUUACUGGGCGUAAAGCGUGCGCAGGCGGUUUUGUAAGACCGAUGUGAAAUCCCCGGGCUUAACCUGGGAACUGCAUUGGUGACUGCAAGGCUAGAGUGUGUCAGAGGGAGGUGGAAUUCCACGUGUAGCAGUGAAAUGCGUAGAGAUGUGGAGGAACACCGAUGGCGAAGGCAGCCUCCUGGGAUAACACUGACGCUCAUGCACGAAAGCGUGGGGAGCAAACAGG
rnacentral:rRNA from 1 species